UACGGAGGGUGCGAGCGUUGUCCGGAAUCAUUGGGCGUAAAGGGCGCGUAGGUGGCCCGGUCAGUUCGUGGUGAAAGCGCGGGGCUCAACCCUGCGUCGGCCAUGAAUACUGCCGCGGCUGGAGCACUGUAGAGGCAGGCGGAAUUCCGGGUGUAGCGGUGGAAUGUGUAGAGAUCCGGAAGAACACCGGUGGCGAAGGCGGCCUGCUGGGCUAUGGCUGACACUGAGGCGCGACAGCGUGGGGAGCAAACAGG
rnacentral:rRNA from 1 species